rnacentral:rRNA from 1 species
UACAGAGGGUGCAAGCGUUAAUCGGAAUUACUGGGCGUAAAGCGCGCGUAGGUGGUUUGUUAAGUUGGAUGUGAAAGCCCCGGGCUCAACCUGGGAACUGCAUCCAAAACUGGCAAGCUAGAGUACGGUAGAGGGUGGUGGAAUUUCCUGUGUAGCGGUGAAAUGCGUAGAUAUAGGAAGGAACACCAGUGGCGAAGGCGACCACCUGGACUGAUACUGACACUGAGACGCGAAAGCCAGGGGAGCGAACGGG